CGAAAGGAUUUUUUAAAUCCACAAAUUCCUCAAAAAUAUUAUUUU
rfam:Onchocerca volvulus assembly O_volvulus_Cameroon_v3 genomic scaffold, OVOC_OM2